rnacentral:rRNA from 1 species
UACGUAGGGUGCGAGCGUUACUCGGAAUUACUGGGCGUAAAGCGUGCGCAGGCGGUUUUGUAAGCCAGAUGUGAAAUCCCCGGGCUUAACCUGGGAAUGGCAUUUGGGACUGCAAGGCUGGAGUGCGGCAGAGGAGACUGGAAUUCCUGGUGUAGCAGUGAAAUGCGUAGAUAUCAGGAGGAAUACCGAUGGCGAAGGCAGGUCUCUGGGCUGACACUGACGCUCAUGCACGAAAGCGUGGGGAGCAAACAGG